AAUUUAACAGAGUAUGCAAUGAAUGAGUAACUCAACAGAGUGUGCAUCGGGUGAGUGAUUCAACAGAGUGUGCAUCGGGUGAGUACCUCAACAGAGUGUGCAUCAUGCUAGUACCUCAACAGAGUGUGCACCGGGUGAGUGAUUCAACAGAGUGUGAUUCGGGUGAGUACCUCAACAGAGCGUGCAUCAUGCUAGUACCUCAACAGAGUGUGCAC